CCCUUAGAUGUUCUGGGCCGCACGCGCGCUACACUGACGAAGUCAGCGAGCAUGUCCUACGCCGAUAGGUGCGGGGAAUCUUGUGAAACUUCGUCGUGCUGGGGAUUGAUUAUUGAAAUUAUUGAUCAUCAACGAGGAAUUCCUAGUAAGCGCAAGUCAGCAGCUUGCGUUGAAUACGUCCCUGCCCUUUGUACACACCGCCCGUCGCUCCUACCGAUCGAAGAGUUAGGUGAAUUGUUUUGAUCGAUAAGAUUUGACUAUGGUCAACUCUCGUUGUGAAAUUCUGUGAAUCUGACUGUUUAGAGGAAGGAAAAGUCGUAACA
rnacentral:rRNA from 1 species